GUCACAUGACCCUGAUGGGAAACAGGUGGAAAACCACUUGGCCAAAGAUUCUUUCUGAACCAGUUCAGUGUAUACAAUCCCAUGAGGUCAGAGCCCCACUCUGAGAGGUUAUGAAUCUGCAGGUUUCAGGUGAGGCCAUGAAAUGAGUCUUCAGCAAGCUCCCUGUUUAUUCUGAUGCUUCUUCGCCAAGACCCACACUCAGGAGCCCUGAGCUUCAGCCCUCACACUCAGCACAGCUGAGACCUCUCAGGAGGGAAGGGUUUAGGUCAGGAAUUUCUUGGAGAGGUCAGGCUAGAACCAAGCAGAGAAAGCUCCAGUACUUGGGGUUCAGGCCUUUCUAAGGGACCCUGGGUGAAGUGCUGUGGGCUCCCCAGGCUGAUCGUGGGUGGGUCCAUUCAAACCAAGAGGAGCAGGAUUCUGGUAUAAAGAAGCUCUUCUCCUCAAGCUACUUAAGACUUACAACAGUUUGGUAAUUUACACCUCUGGAUUACUACAGUUUCACAUCAAGAUAACAGUAAUGCAGAGAUUCCAGCCAAUCCUUGGAACAGAUCCUGAGAGAAUAACACCAGAAGUCACCCUGGGGCCCCUUCACGAGACAGGAGGGAUUUGAGGUAGGAGACAGAAGGGCCCCCAGGCUGGAAAGCUGGAGUCUGUCAGGUGGAAUAAAGUUGAAGCUCUGUUCUCACCAGACACUCCAAGGACAAAGCUAGUGGCAGAAGCUGAGCCCUGCUGGGGUCAAGAGAUAAAAUGCCCAUUUCUGAGGACAAGCAAAGCUUCCCUCUCUGCACACGCGCAGGAAGGCUGCUUGGAGCUGAGAAGACCAUGUGGCCCCAUCCCAUAAAAAGUGUGGACACGCACCGCAGGCCUCUGUGGUGGGAUCAGUGUGCCCAGGCUUGGUGAGGGCCUUCCCAGGUGGCUUAGCAGUAAAGAAUCUGCCUGAGAUGCAGAAAAGGCAGGAGACGUCACUGGUUGAUUACCUGACUCAGGAAGAUACCUUGAGGAGGGCCUGGCAACCCAUUCCAGAAUUCCUACCUGGAGAAUCCAACGGACAGAGGAGACUGGCAGGCCACAGUCCAUCGGGUCGCAAAGAGUUGGACACGACUGAAGCGACUGAGCACACACGAGGGCUGGCGGGUAUUAACUGCCCAGCAGAUGUUUACAGUUGCUUUUACCAGGGUCAGGAUUAAGUCAGAGCCAGAGUCAUACCAGAGUGAGGCCUAAGCACGUACCACGGUCAGGCCUGAGUGUGGACCAGAGUCAGGCCUAAGUCAGUACCAGAGUCAGGACUAACUCAGGACCAGGCCAGGCCAUAGUGAGAACCAGAUCCAGGCCUUAGUGUGGACCAAGUCAGGCCUAAGUACAUACCACAGCCGGGCCUCAGUGAGUACCAAGUCUGGCCUUACUGUGUAGUAGAGUCAGUCCUAAUGACGACCAGAGUUAGGCCUAAGUGAGUACGACAGACAGGCAUAGGAGUGGACCAGGGUCAGGCCAAAAUGAGGACCAGAGUCAGGGCUUACCAUGCACCAGAAUCAGGUCUCGGGAUGGACCUGAGUCAGGGUAAGUAAGUACCAGAGUCAGGCCUUAUGUGAACCAGAGUCUGCCUGAGUGUGGACGAGAGUCAGGCCUGAGUUUUUACCAGAGUGAAGCCUUAGCCUGGUCCAAAGUCAGGGCUGAGUGUGCACCAGAGUCAGGCCUGAGUGUUUCCAGAGUCAGGCCUGAGUGUGACCAGAGUGACACCUGAGUGUGCACCAGAGUCAGGUCUGAGUGUGGAACCGAGUCUUCCUGAUGCUUGACUAUUCCUCACUUAGGCCUCACUCUGGUCUACACCAAGGCCUGACUCUUGUACCCACUCAGGCCAGACUCGGGUCCACACUCAGGCCAGACUCGGGUCCACACUGAGGCAUGGUUCUGGUCCACACUCAGGCCUGACUCUAAACCACUGAAGACCUGACUCUCGUCCACUUUCAGGGCUGACUGGUCCACGUUAAGCCUGACUCUGGCUCACACUGAGGCCUGACUGUGGUUCUCACUGAGGCCUCAUACUGUCCCACACUACAGCCUGACUCUAGUCCACACUUAGGCCUGAGUCUGGUCCUCAAUUAGGCCUGACUCUGGUCAAGGCUAAGGCCUGGUUCCACACUAGGGCCUGAAUCUGCUGCUCACUAAGGUCUGUACAUCAUAAAUCGGUUCAACCCCAGAUAAAUAUAUAAUUAGAGCUGGCAAGAGCUUAGUCA